GACGAACGCUGGCGGCGCGCCUAACACAUGCAAGUCGAACGGAGUCACGAGGAGCUUGCUUUUCUUGACUUAGUGGCGAACGGGUGAGUAACGCGUGAGUAACCUGCCCUGGAGUGGGGGACAACAGUUGGAAACGACUGCUAAUACCGCAUAAGCCCACGGAUCUGCAUGGAUCUGCGGGAAAAGGAUUUAUUCGCUCUAGGAUGGACUCGCGUCCAAUUAGCUAGUUGGUGAGGUAACGGCCCACCAAGGCGACGAUUGGUAGCCGGACUGAGAGGUUGAACGGCCACAGUGGGACUGAGACACGGCCCAGACUCCUACGGGAGGCAGCAGUGGGGGAUAUUGCACAAUGGGGGAAACCCUGAUGCAGCGACGCCGCGUGGAGGAAGAAGGUUUUCGGAUUGUAAACUCCUGUCGUGAGGGACGAUAAUGACGGUACCUAACAAGAAAGCACCAGCUAACUACGUG
rnacentral:rRNA from 1 species